GUCAUUAUUCCUAUCACUGCUGUCACCAGUAUUGUUGUUGUUAUUGUUAUCGCCAUCGUCAUCGGUGCUGCUCCUGCCGUUAUUAGCGUUAUACACAUACCACUACUACCACCACCACUACCACCACUACCACCACUACUACUACUACUACCACUACUACUGCUACACCUACCUUUCAAGCCACAAGUGCAGUUCUUACUUUCAUUCCUAUCUUCCAAUAUCAGAAUCUCCAACUGAUUCUGCGAUGACAAACACUUGUUCCUAAUUUUUUUUUAUAAUUUUUUCUUUCGGCAUUGCUUUUUUGGUUUUUUUUUUCGGUUUGUUUGCUUUGGCGGCGUUAAAACUGCCAAUCGUCUGAGGCUGCCAUAGCGUUGCUGCGCUGUGGUGUUCAUGCUGCACCUCCUUUCGAUUACCUGAACCAUUAACACGUUCAUUAGCCAUUACGCAAAAUCUUAGAAUUCCGCACAUUGCGAGGCUGGAACAAUGUCGAAAAAGUCGAUAAAAGGAGCCUACCCUCUUGAAAAUUAUGGCGCAAUCUCGGAAGAUUUUGACGAUAAAGUCAGGAUUUUGGAUUCACCUGAAGAGGUAAGUCUUACCUUUCUGCUUUCUUGUUUUUUUUUUGAAUUUUUUUGAUUUUUGUUUCUUUACCAAAAAAAUAUUGUUGUAGGUUCAAAUCUUACACUUUCCAAAACUCUCCCCCUUCACCCCUUGCCGGUUCUUUUGUAACCAAUGGCCGAUCCAAUGCGGUGAAACAAAUAAAAGUAUAGAACAAGGAAAAAAAAAAGG